rnacentral:lncRNA from 1 species
AUAAACACAGACCUAUUAGGCUUAGGAUUCCAGAGAGCUCUUUCUGCAAAAGGAGUUACACUGGAUGCCUUAUUAAUAGGAAAUUUGCCAUGUUUAUUAUUUUGCAAUUACUAAUAUGGGUAACGUUGGCAAAUUUAAGUUGCCUGUGAUCAGAUUCCGAAAGAGAAGCAAGUGCCUUCGGUGGCCAGAGAGCAGGCCAGCCUGGCUCCGUGGCAGGGCACCGCAGGGCACGGUGGGCAUUCUGUGUGAGCGGCCAGUGGGAGAGGAAGUUGGCUGACUCUCGAUUGACAAAAAAUCCCACAAUUCUCGUUUUCUCUUUAAACAACGAAUGCUUUCAAGUAAAAUGCCGUGCUAUCUUGGAGCACAGGACUUCAUGCCAAUCCCCGGCGAAGCUCAUCAUUUCCUCACUCAGGACCUGAGGAUUUGGCAUCUAUAUUGUAGGCGAAGAGACUCUUUUGCUCCAGAGAGGCAAGUAAACAACUGCAGCGUUUUAUCCUCUCCCUGGCGUGGGUGCAUGUUGCUAAAGCAGCCCAGGCACUGCUGCCAAGCACUCCACUAUUGUCUUCUGUCUCCCAAGGUUUCGAACGCCCCUGCCCUCCCAACGGCGGGUCUUCUGCAGGGAUGAAUGAGGCAUUUUCCAGGACAAGACUUUAUGAAUGAGACAGACUGUGUAUUACAAGGCAAGAGGCUCCUGUGCAUUUCCUGAAGAAGAAAGCCAAUGUGAAGGAAGUCUGCAUCCCAGUUUCAGCAGCAAUGUGGAGGAGAAAUCACCAUCACUGACAAGAUUUUGCCAGAAAGCCUCUCCCUUAGUCACGAUACAAACAGGAGAUGACCGAUUCAAAGGCCAGGCAUAUAAAAGCCCUGGACAAGGUAGAUUCUAAAGGAUAAAUAGUUGCUCUUCCGAGGUAGUGGGGAGGGGCGCCCGCUGUUGGACCAUUUUAAUCAACAGAAAAUCAGGUGCACUGCUGUGGGUGUGGCAGCUGCAAAACAUGGCAGGAUUGCAGGUCAUCUUUGGAUGAAAUAUAACGACUCAUGGUUCUGUGACUGAGAACAUGUGAUCUUGGAGACGAAGUCUGAGCAAAAUUACGAGUGAAAGUUCUGGGAUGUUAGCUAUCCUGAGUCACGGAGACCUAAUCGAAGUACUCCUUUCCCAUCCUCUAGAGUUUCCUUAAGAAGCCCUCGGCAUCAACUUCAAGGUGUGAAUACAUUUCUCUAUUUCUGAUGCACCUGCAACCUGGGUGCUACAACCGUUCUCUUCUGUGUGUUUCUUCCUCACUAUGGAUGGAGAAAAGUAAACAAGUGUGUUUUGUGCAUCACCUUCAUGUUGCCACUCUUCAGUUAGGCAAGUAAAAGCUAGCCCUUCCUCCCCAAACUUGCUUGGUGCCUCUGUUCCCAGAGCAAGGUUUCAACCCUGUUGAAACUCUGUUUCAGUCCAAGUCCAGGGCCCUCAGAGAUUUUUUUUUCUCCCUGAGGGGAUAAGCAGGGCUUUAAAAAGAUUCUACUCCCUUUCCAAGCCCACGAAGUGCUCAGAAGCAGCCCCCAAAGGAGCCAGCAGGGAAAAGUAGACUCAACUUUGUCCAAGCAUCAAGUUCCUGCUAAUUUCCUCUCCUGCUACCCUGAUGAAAUCACCUCUGAUUUUAUCUGUGUUCUCCCACUUUGCCACUGCUUAUCUCUCAUCCACCCAUGGAACUAAUAAAAUAAAGGACUAAUGUUUCCUCCUCAUCCUUAACAAUUAAUUCUAAUUCUAAAACUUCUUUGAUCUCCUCUCUAUUAUUCUAAAACGAAACCCCAAAUCUUUGGGCUUAAAAUCAAGCCUUGUUUCAGUACAUAGCCUAGGUACCACAUGGAAAGAAAAUUGCAGCAGCCACAGAAAAUGAUUACUGCUGAAUUACAAAUCACAGAGAGAUGCAUAAAUAGUUAUGAGGGAAAAUUGCAGGAUAAUGCUGCUGAUACAAUCAAUAGCAUCCUUGAUAGUGAUAGGCCCAGGGGUUCUAUAUAUUAUCUAUCCACCAAAAUGCCAAUAUAAUAAAACCUACAGAGGAAUUUAUAUCAUGAUCCAUUCUCUGUUAAUUCCCAAGUGAAUAAUAAAUCAAAUGGGAUACCUGAAAGAUCGUCUCCUCUAAUUGACUUGUUUAAGAAACUGGUUAUACUGGCCAUUACGCUAUUCCAACUAAUGUGUGUUAGGAAGCAUUUCUCUCUCUUUUAAAAUUAAUAAAACAAUUUCACAUAUGACCCAUGGUGCAAAGAAAAAAUAUAUACUCUUAAGUGAUUAGAACUCAUUAUAAUUAUAUUUACUAAAAUGUUUUAUGUUUACAUCAUUUCUCCCAGAACUGCAGUGGUCAGUAAGGGGCCCAGAGUAUGAGGGGUUUCCUAUUAAAUGCUUUUUGAAAAAGCAAAUAUACAUUGAUCAGGCUUUCUUUAUCUUUAGCUAUCACUGCUCAUUUUCUCUUCUUUCCUUUCAUUGAACUUCUUUUAAAUUAAUUAAUCUAUGAAUUUCCAAAUGUUAGAUAGCAAUCUAUAUCCAUUUCUGUAGAAAAAUUAACGAUGCAUUUUAAAUGGAAUCCUUUUGUGAUCCCAGAAUGACACCACAAAUGAGAUUUCCAUAGGUCUUACGGUUAAGGCAGGUGUCUUUGAAAGUGGCAAGAAUUCUCCCAGCUCACUAGGGGAUUGAUUAUUAAAUCUUACCAACACAAACAUGGCUUUCUUAUAUAUCUCUUUACAAGAACUAGAUUUUAGAGUGCCACAUCACGGCCUACAUAUUGGAA